rnacentral:rRNA from 1 species
UUUACGGCUCAGUAACACGUAGUCAACAUGCCCAGGGGACGUGGAUAACCUCGGGAAACUGAGGAUAAACCGCGAUAAGUCACUACUUCUGGAAUGGGUAAUGACUAAAAUCUACAUGGCCCCUGGAUUGGACUGCGGCCGAUCAGGCUGUUGGUGAGGUAAUGGCCCACCAAACCUGUAACCGGUACGGGCUCUGAGAGGAGGAGCCCGGAGAUGGGCACUGAGACAAGGGCCCAGGCCCUAUGGGGCGCAGCAGGCGCGAAACCUCUGCAAUAGGCGAAAGCCUGACCAGGGUUACUCUGAGUGAUUUCCGUUAAGGAGAUCUUUUGGCACCUCUAAAAAUGGUGCAGAAUAAGGGGUGGGCAAGUCUGGUGUCAGCCGCCGCGGUAAUACCAGCACCCCGAGUGGUCGGGACGUUUAUUGGGCCUAAAGCAUCCGUAGCCGGUUCUACAAGUCUUCCGUUAAAUCCACCUGCUUAACAGAUGGGCUGCGGAAGAUACUAUAGAGCUAGGAGGCGGGAGAGGCAAGCGGUACUCGAUGGGUAGGGGUAAAAUCCGUUGAUCCAUUGAAGACCACCAGUGGCGAAGGCGGCUUGCCAGAACGCGCUCGACGGUGAGGGAUGAAAGCUGGGGGAGCAAACCGGAUUAGAUACCCGGGUAGUCCCAGCUGUAAACGAUGCAGACUCGGUGAUGAGUUGGCUUCUUGCCAACUCAGUGCCGCAGGGAAGCCGUUAAGUUUGCCGCCUGGGGAGUACGGUCGCAAGACUGAAACUUAAAGGAAUUGGCGGGAU